UAAUUCGAAGCAACGCGAAGAACCUUACCAGCCCUUGACAUCCUGCUGGCAGCCCGGUAAUGCGGGCUUUCCUACGGGACAGCAGAGACAGGUGGUGCAUGGUUGUCGUCAGCUCGUGUCGUGAGAUGUUGGGUUAAGUCCCGCAACGAGCGCAACCCCUGCUUACAGUAGCCAGCAGCAAGGCUGGGCACUCUGUAAGGACUGCCGGGGAUAACCCGGAGGAAGGCGGGGACGACGUCAAAUCAUCAUGCCCCUUAUGGGCUGGGCUACACACGUGCUACAAUGGCGCCAACAGAGUGAGGCGAACCUGCGAGGGGGAGCAAAGCACAAAAAAGGCGUCCCAGUUCGGAUUACAGCCUGCAACCCGGCUGUAUGAAGCUGGAAUCGCUAGUAAUCGCAGAUCAGAAUGCUGCGGUGAAUACGUUCCCGG
rnacentral:rRNA from 1 species